rnacentral:rRNA from 1 species
GACGAACGCUGGCGGCGUGCCUAAUACAUGCAAGUAGAACGCUGAAGGAGGAGCUUGCUUCUCUGGAUGAGUUGCGAACGGGUGAGUAACGCGUAGGUAACCUGCCUGGUAGCGGGGGAUAACUAUUGGAAACGAUAGCUAAUACCGCAUAAGAGUAGAUGUCGCAUGACAUUUGCUUAAAAGGUGCAAUUGCAUCACUACCAGAUGGACCUGCGUUGUAUUAGCUAGUUGGUGAGGUAACGGCUCACCAAGGCAACGAUACAUAGCCGACCUGAGAGGGGGAUCGGCCACACUGGGACUGAGACACGGCCCAGACUCCUACGGGAGGCAGCAGUAGGGAAUCUUCGGCAAUGGACGGAAGGCUGACCGAGGAACGCCGCGUGAGUGAAGAAGGUUUUCGGAUCGUAAAGAUCUGUUGUAAGAGAAGAACGAGUGUGAGAGUGGAAAGUUCACACUGUGACGGUAUCUUACCAGAAAGGGACGGCUAACUACGUG